UACGUAGGAGGCAAGCGUUGUCCGGAAUUAUUGGGCGUAAAGAGCUCGUAGGUGGUUCGGUAAGUCGGAUGUGAAAUCUCCAGGCUCAACCUGGAGGGGUCAUUCGAUACUGCCGUGACUAGAGGUCGGUAGGGGAGUGUGGAAUUCCUGGUGGAGCGGUGAAAUGCGCAGAUAUCAGGAGGAACACCCGUAGCGAAGGCGGCACUCUGGGCCGAUACUGACACUGAGGAGCGAAAGCGUGGGGAGCGAACAGG
rnacentral:rRNA from 1 species